UGAGGAAUCUUGUGCAAUGGGGGAAACCCUGACGCAGCAACGCCGCGUGAGUGAGGAAGGUCUUCGGAUCGUAAAGCUCUGUCGGGUGGAAAGAAAUGUAUGGGGUUAAUAGCCUUCAUACUUGACGGUACCACCAAAGGAAGCACCGGCUAACUCCGUGCCAGCAGCCGCGGUAAUACGGGGGGUGCAAGCGUUGUUCGGAAUUAUUGGGCGUAAAGAGCGUGUAGGCGGCUUGGUAAGUCAGAUGUGAAAGCCCUGGGCUUAACCCAGGAAGUGCAUUUGAAACUGCCUAGCUAGAGUAGGGGAGAGUGAAGUGGAAUUCCUUGUGUAGAGGUGAAAUUCGUAGAUAUCAGGAGGAACACCGGUGGCUAAGGCGACUUCCUGGCCCUAUACUGACGCUGAGACGCGAGAGCGUGGGUAGCAAACAG
rnacentral:rRNA from 1 species